AUACGUAGGUGGCAAGCGUUGUCCGGAAUUAUUGGGCGUAAAGCGCGCGCAGGUGGUUCCUUAAGUCUGAUGUGAAAGCCCCCGGCUCAACCGGGGAGGGUCAUUGGAAACUGGGGAACUUGAGUGCAGAAGAGGAUAGUGGAAUUCCAAGUGUAGCGGUGAAAUGCGUAGAGAUUUGGAGGAACACCAGUGGCGAAGGCGACGGUCUGUUCUGUAACGGACACUGAGGCGCGAAAGCGUGGGGAGCAAACAGGAUUAGAUCCCCUGGUAGGCCACGCCGUAAACGAUGAGUGCUAAGUGUUGGGGGGUUUCCGCCCCUCAGUGCUGCAGCUAACGCAUUAAGCACUCCGCCUGGGGAGUACGGUCGCAAGACUGAAACUCAAAUGAAUUGACGGGG
rnacentral:rRNA from 1 species